rnacentral:misc_RNA from 1 species
CUUCUCAACAUCCAACCCAACUCUACAUGAACCACAUGAACACGAAUUUCACUUCAAGAGUUCCUUAGCACUUGAUCUAACGAGUAGUUACCCAUAUCUUUAAGCCAAACAAGGACAAAGAAAGAGAUAAAAAAAAGGGCCCCCAAUAAAUGAAAAGACCAUCUUUAAACAACAGAUUCCAUACUGAAAGAAAUUAAUCUACAUUUAAAAGUGCUUUACAUGUAAAAUGCUGGUCUCUCAAUAAUGGCCAGUAUGAAGAAACUUAUACUUUAUAUUCUAGUCUACUGCAUUAAUUUAUUUUUUUCCAUUCAUUUUUCUCUCUUUUUUUCCCCCCCCCCUGCAAGAUUAAAAGUAGAAAAAAAAAGAAGGGAAGAG